AAAUUGAAGAGUUUGAUCAUGGCUCAGAUUGAACGCUGGCGGCAGGCCUAACACAUGCAAGUCGAACGGUAACAGGAAGCAGCUUGCUGCUUCGCUGACGAGUGGCGGACGGGUGAGUAAUGUCUGGGAAGCUGCCUGAUGGAGGGGGAUAACUACUGGAAACGGUAGCUAAUACCGCAUAAUGUCGCAAGACCAAAGAGGGGGACCUUCGGGCCUCUUGCCAUCGGAUGUGCCCAGAUGGGAUUAGCUUGUUGGUGGGGUAACGGCUCACCAAGGCGACGAUCCCUAGCUGGUCUGAGAGGAUGACCAGCCACACUGGAACUGAGACACGGUCCAGACUCCUACGGGAGGCAGCAGUGGGGAAUAUUGCACAAUGGGCGCAAGCCUGAUGCAGCCAUGCCGCGUGUAUGAAGAAGGCCUUCGGGUUGUAAAGUACUUUCAGCGGGGAGGAAGGGAGUAAAGUUAAUACCUUUGCUCAUUGACGUUACCCGCAGAAGAAGCACCGGCUAACUCCGUGCCAGCAGCCGCGGUAAUACGGAGGGUGCAAGCGUUAAUCGGAAUUACUGGGCGUAAAGCGCACGCAGGCGGUUUGUUAAGUCAGAUGUGAAAUCCCCGGGCUCAACCUGGGAACUGCAUCUGAUACUGGCAAGCUUGAGUCUCGUAGAGGGGGGUAGAAUUCCAGGUGUAGCGGUGAAAUGCGUAGAGAUCUGGAGGAAUACCGGUGGCGAAGGCGGCCCCCUGGACGAAGACUGACGCUCAGGUGCGAAAGCGUGGGGAGCAAACAGGAUUAGAUACCCUGGUAGUCCACGCCGUAAACGAUGUCGACUUGGAGGUUGUGCCCUUGAGGCGUGGCUUCCGGAGCUAACGCGUUAAGUCGACCUCCUGGGGAGUACGGCCGCAAGGUUAAAACUCAAAUGAAUUGACGGGGGCCCGCACAAGCGGUGGAGCAUGUGGUUUAAUUCGAUGCAACGCGAAGAACCUUACCUGGUCUUGACAUCCACGGAAGUUUUCAGAGAUGAGAAUGUGCCUUCGGGAACCGUGAGACAGGUGCUGCAUGGCUGUCGUCAGCUCGUGUUGUGAAAUGUUGGGUUAAGUCCCGCAACGAGCGCAACCCUUAUCCUUUGUUGCCAGCGGUCCGGCCGGGAACUCAAAGGAGACUGCCAGUGAUAAACUGGAGGAAGGUGGGGAUGACGUCAAGUCAUCAUGGCCCUUACGACCAGGGCUACACACGUGCUACAAUGGCGCAUACAAAGAGAAGCGACCUCGCGAGAGCAAGCGGACCUCAUAAAGUGCGUCGUAGUCCGGAUUGGAGUCUGCAACUCGACUCCAUGAAGUCGGAAUCGCUAGUAAUCGUGGAUCAGAAUGCCACGGUGAAUACGUUCCCGGGCCUUGUACACACCGCCCGUCACACCAUGGGAGUGGGUUGCAAAAGAAGUAGGUAGCUUAACCUUCGGGAGGGCGCUUACCACUUUGUGAUUCAUGACUGGGGUGAAGUCGUAACAAGGUAACCGUAGGGGAACCUGCGGUUGGAUCACCUCCUUA
rnacentral:rRNA from 1 species